rnacentral:lncRNA from 12 species
UAAAAAGACCUACUCAGAGGCGACUCCUGCAGAGGCGAGUGGUGAGAUCUCAGAACAAGUCACACCCAAGGCCGGGCAUACUUGGGAGAACAAAACAGAGAAAGAAGCAGGAAUCAAUUCCUGCAAAUCCCUUAAGGACUGCUGCAAAUCUCUGGUGGAUCGUCGUAGGAAACGUCAAGCUGCUCGUUUGGCUCGCGUGCAGGACUACUUCACUCAGAAAGCAAUGGAAACCCAGUUGGGAUGUAAUUCCUACACAGAUGAAAGUACCACAUCCAUCCCAAAGCUGUCUAUACCAAGUAGAACUGACUUGCCAGUUGUCCACAGCCAACAAGGAUGCAAUAUGGACACACCACCAAUACUAAUGUACCACCAGAUCCCUUUGCUUUCCCUGGAUUGGGGCAGUACCACAACAACACCCCCCCAAGCAAACCCUCCAGAUGCCUGCAGUAAAACAAGACAUCAGGUUGAAGACCACCUAGCCAUAUCUGCUUCUGGGGCCUGGGAAACCUUUCUUAACAGCACUGAUAUGCAGCACCAAGUAUGUGUUCCUCCAGAGUCAGACGUUUUAGUCCCAAUGGAGGACAAGGGAACUGAGAAAGACCACAGUCAAGAGUCUCCUGACAGGAAAGCAACGGAAACUGUAAAAUCUGUUCCAGUAAAGCAAUCAAAGGAUCUCAGCACAAGUCCUUCUAGAGAUCAGGUUGUGGAUUACCAACCAGUGAAAGAGCCAAGGGUCACUACCCUACCAUGUUCUGCCCAGGGAUCGGAGCCAGAGGGGGCGGGAAGUGAGUUAGAGGCAUCUCGUGACCACCAAGCCCCACAUCAAGAGCACACAAGCGGAUCUUUGAGUCAAGACACGACCAAAGCAAACCCUAGGGAUGAAACUCAAACCGCAUAUGACACCAAGACUCAGAAUUCAGAAGCCGGAGAUGGAAUCUCACGUGAAGAAUGCACAGGCAGCUCCGACACCUCAAAGGUUAAAGAAAACACACAAAGAGCGGUCAAAGGCACCCUGACAUUUACGGGGAUCAUGGACGUGCCACUCGCAAAUAGACAGGCCGAGGGAUCUUCUUCAGAAAGGAAGGAUAUAAAUAAAGAUGCUAGCGAGGAGCAGGUGGAAAUGAGGGCGUUCUGUAGAGAACUACAUGAAGAGGACACGGAAAGCAGUAGAAAAGGACAAGAUGAGACAACUACGGAUCACAGCGUAGAAAUACAAGGCAAGGCUUUUAAUGAGAACGAAUUAUGCACGUCGAGCAGGAGUUUUAACAAAGACAAUUCAGAGCUAUUGAAAAACAAAGAGAGGCGUUGUGAGGCAAACGAUGGACUUAAAAUGAAGAAACGACUGAAUGAGACGACUAUAGAAGCUGCUAGUUUUGAAGAGAAUGAAAUGCAUUCAGAAGAGCUUAUAGAGGACUCACGAGCAGUGGGUGACAGUUGCACAGACGGAGAAAAGAAAGAGUUUGAGAUUCAUGCUACCAAAUUUGCACCCUCCCACAUACCUACCUAUCCAACAGUUAGCACUGACCCAUCCAGGCACCUCCUUCGGACAGCAUCUGCAAAGGAAACUUCUGCAGAGGAGGACUUUGAGCUUGGGAAGAUUCUGAGGAAGUUGUUGUCAAAUUAUGUGUGACUCUGAAAUGAAAAGUGACACGAAGUGAUUAUAUGGGCCCGAAAUCACUUGAUAAAAUGAGAUUUAGUAGGGCAUUUUUGUUUGUUUCUUUCUUGUCAUUUGUGUUUCCAUUAAAAGUCCCAUUUGAAACAGGAGUCUUUUAAUAGAAUACUAAACUCAAACUAGAAUAGUGGAUAUGUGCUAAUCUAAUUUUGUGAUAUAAUUAAAUGACAGAAAACAUUCUUAUAAUGUCAAAGGCAACAACUGCUUUCGCAGAUAUAUCUCCAUGAUAUACAGUGCGAGUAAAAAGUAUCUAUACUAAAUAUUUUAGUUUUUGAGUUUUUAAUUAACAUUUUUUUUUGCAUUUUUUUCCAGUAAAGAUACUGUAUAGAAAAAUUCACAAAGGAAGAUAAAAUUACUUCACAAGCAACAGUGCAUAAGAUAUGAAGACUUCUGAUUUAUAGUGCAUCGUGUAUAAGUGUAAAAUAAAAUAAAAAAUAAUAAAAAUACACUUAUACAAUACAAAUACAAAAUAUUUUUUUGCUGUAACACUUUAGUAUAGGGACCAAUUCUCAGUAUGAACUAGUUGAUUAUUAGCAAGGCUAUUAUUAAUAUAUUGGCUGUUUAUUAGUACUUAUAAAGCACAUAUUCUGCAUGACCAUAUUCUAAAUCCCUAAUCCUACCCAAUACCUACACUUGACUACCUUACUAACUAUUAAUAAGCAGCAAAUUAGGAGUUUAUUGAGCCGAAACGAAAAGUGACACGAAGUGAUUCUAUGGGCCCAAAAUCAUUUGACAAAAUUAGAUUUAAGAGGCAUUUUUGUUUGUUUGUUUCUUCAAUUGUGUUCCCAUUAAAAAUCCCAUUUAAAACAGGAGUCUUUUAAUGUAAUAAUAAACUGAGCAAUAACUGGAACUUAAAAUAAAGUGUGACCUUUUUAGCAAACAAAUAAGUUUAAUUAUGAAUGUAUACAAAAUAAUUUCUUCAUGAGCCUUAGUAUUAAAAAGUGUCACAAGGAACAAUAUUCAGUCCAAACCUUUGACUGGUACUGUACCUUUAUGUAAUGUUUUACUGGGUUCAUACAAAGGCACAUUGAAUGCACUGAGGACACAGCUGCAUUUCAUGUCUCUUUGGGGAUGUGUGUGACUGACGUGACAUUUACUGCCAAUCCCAUCAUGUCUCUGUUCCCAAAAGAGAAAGGGAGAGAUAUGAGGGCUGGAAAAAGGACAGGGUUUCUCGACCUUCUGAUCUGUGAACAUAACUCUAAGUUAUUCAUACCUAAAAGCCUUAAAAACUGUUUAUGCACAAGUGAAAAUUCCCCUCAUUUACUCACAGUCAUGUCUGGUGAAACACAAAAUGAGUUUUCUUCUCCAUGCAAUUACAACAAAUGGAGACUCAAGCUUUAAAAUGCCAUAAAAACAUCAUAAAGUAUCAUAAAAGUAGUCCAUAUGUGAAUACGGUGCAAUCUAUAAUGAGCCUAAUUUACAUAGAAACAUGGUGUGCUUGGGCUCAAAAGAAUGGCACGAUUUUUACGUCUCGUUGAACUGGAUUAUGGGUAUUUAGUGAGACAGACGCAUAAUUUUGAGAUGAAAUACGACAGUGUUUAUUGAAUUUGCCAGUGUGCUGGUCUUUGCCUGUGCUUGUUUUAGUUGUGGGCAAAUGCAUGAUCUCUGUUUAUAUGUGAGUGUGUAAUAGAGAUGUUGUGUGUGUGUUGCUGUAGUCAUAUGAUCCAGUCUACUAUGACUCUGACCUUUCGGUGUCUAGCUGCUGACCUCACGUCCAGCUCGAGCUGCUCAUCUGUACUGAAAGAGCACACAUUCAUGUUUUACUGUUCUUAAUACCUCUGUUCAACAUUUAUGUAACUAUUCUUAAGAGCACUAAAAUCCCUAUAAGGAGGAAGCUAAGAAUUAUAUACUUAUUUAUUCACACAUAAAAUAUAAGACUGAAUAGGGCUAAAAUACUUAGUGAACUCAAUGAAUAUGUGUUUUAUUAUAUAAGUUUACACUGCUGAUGGAAAAAAUGUAUGCUGGUUUAUGCUGGUUUGGUGACUGAAAGAGAAGAAAAAUUAUACUGUAUUACCAUCUAAGGUCAUUCAAAGGGCAUCUAAACUUCUCAAAUGUGUUUUUAAACUUAUCUAUAGUUAAUAAUGUCAUAAAAUGCACAUUUAUGUGCGGUCCUUCUGUUUCAUGUAUUUACAUUGCAUACAGUGUUUAGCUGUUUGCAGAUGAUCUAAGCAUUCACACAUGGUAUUUUAUACUGGUUUGCAGUAGAAAAAAAAUUAUAAACUGACCACUAAAAACAACUCAAGUUAAUAAAUAAUAGUCACCCCAAACAAAUAUUCCAGUUAUUCAUAACAAAACCAAAUGAAGAAUUUGCACCAUUUGUGGCUUUAAAAUGCAGUUUGCGCUGAUCAACUUCAUAACAACAGGUUCAUUGAGUCUUUCCUGUACAUUUCCAUUGAGCUCAGCACGGUUUGUUAUUAAAGUGACUCAGGAGGAACAAGAUAUUCCCAAACCCCACUCACAGAUGAAAGGCACGUAGGCCACGAGAUAAAUGUCGCUAUGAUCACAUGAGGGAUUUUUUCAGAGGUGUGAAUACCUCAGAUGUUUCAUGCAUGCAUGCUUUGCAGUUAAUUAUGUGUUACGUGCUGGCAUCCUUUCCUUUUUCUCUUUCUUUCUUUCUGAAAGUACAGGCGUCUUAAAGCUGAAUCUAAAAGUUGCUGAGCUUCACCAAUCUGCAUAUAAUGUCAAAUUUUGUGCCAACUUCAUGACAAACAUACACUUAUCAAAAUUAAAGUUAAUUUCAAUCUAAAUCACUGAAAGCAAUAUUAUAUUAUUAUUAAGAUUUUCACUUUUUUUUAUUUGUAUUAUUUAUACUCUAUUUUUGUAUUUUAUCUGUGCACUCUUAAAAAUAAAGGUGCCUAAAAGGUUCUUAAGAUACAGUGAUGCCAUAGAUUAGAAAAACCAUUUUUGGUUCCACAAAGAACCAUUCAGUCAAAGGUUCUUUAAGGAACCAUCUCUUUCUUACCUUUUUUAUAAUAUGAAGAACCUUCUUUCACCACAAAGAACCUUUUGUGAAACAGAAAGGUUCUUCAGAUGUUAAAGGUUCUUUACGCAACCAUUUAGACAAAAAGGUUCUUCUAUGGCAUCGUGAAGCAUCUUUAUUUUUAAUCAGUUUGUUUUAUUUUACUUUCAAUUUUUAUUAGUAUUUUCAUUUUGUACUUAAUUUUUUUGUAUUUUAUAA